UACGUAGGGGGCAAGCGUUAUCCGGAUUUACUGGGUGUAAAGGGAGCGUAGACGGUUAUGCAAGUCUGAAGUGAAAGCCCAAGGCUCAACCAUGGGACUGCUUUGGAAACUGUAAAACUGGAGUGCAGGAGAGGUAAGCGGAAUUCCUAGUGUAGCGGUGAAAUGCGUAGAUAUUAGGAGGAACACCAGUGGCGAAGGCGGCUCACUGGACUGUAACUGACGUUGAGGCUCGAAGGCGUGGGGAGCAAACAGG
rnacentral:rRNA from 1 species